AUGCUCCGCCGCCAGCGCCACUUCCUCCCCGCCAAGCCCCGCCGCCGCCCUCCGCCCCGCCCCAAACCCUCCGCCGAGCCCUCCGCCCCGACGUACACCCGCGACGUCGUCCGCCGCGUGACCAACAUACUCCGCGACCACCCCUGGUCGGCGGCGCGCCCGCUCCUCCUCUCCCUCCCGGGCCUCGUCUGGGACUCGCACGUCGUGGCGCGCGUCCUCAAGACCCACCCGCCGCUCCAGAAGGCCUUCCUCUUCUUCCGCCUCGCCGCCUCCUCCCCCACACCCGGGGCCGCCUUCCGCCACGACCGCUACACCUACACCUCCAUGCUCCACCUCCUCGGCGAGGCCGGCCGGGUCCCCGCCAUGCUCCACCUCCUCGCCGAGAUGCUCCGCGCCGGGGUGGACCCCGACGCCGCCACGUUCACCACCGUCAUGCACUGGCUGGCGCGCGCCGGGGACGUGGACGCCGCGAUGCGGGUGUGGGAGGAGAUGCGCUCCCGCAGGGGGAAGUGCCGCCCCACGCUCGUCAGCUACACGGCGUGCGUCAAGAUCCUGUUCGACGCCGGGAGGGCCGCCGAGGGCAGGAGGGUGUUCGAGGAGAUGGUGGCCGAGGGGCUGCGGCCCAGCUGCACCACCUACACCGUGCUCAUCGAGCAUCUCGCUGACGCAGGAAAAUUCCAAGCUACUCUACAAAUUAUGAGUGACAUGCAAGAUGCAGGCGUAGAACCAGACAAGCCACUCUGCAAUAUUCUAGUCAAGAAGUGUGCCAGCGCUGGUGAGACGUCAGUGAUGACCUUCAUUCUUCAGCACAUGAAGGAGAAAGGCAUUGUUCUCCGUAGGCCUGUCUUUUUGGAAGCACUAGAAGCUCUAAAAGCUAGUGGUGAGAGCCCUAAUCUUCUUUGGGAAGUGAAUCCUCAUCUUGCAUCCGAAGGAAUGGAAUAUGACCCAACAUUUUCUCAUCUAAGCUGCAUUACUGACAGAAGUACGAUUAUAUACCUUUUGGCUUCUAGAAACUGGUCUGCUAUCGAACAGAUGGUAAAUGAAUUGACCACGAGGAAUGUGAAGUUUGAAUCGCAUAUACUAUCUGAUAUUAUUCAGGCCAGCUGUGCAAACUGCAGACCAUCAUGUGGACUCACAGUUCUGUACUAUAGCCUAAGAGUAGGCAGUGAACUUGACAGAUCUGCAUAUAGUUGCCUUCUUGGUCAAUACAUCAGAAAUGAUUCGUUUGAUUUGGUAUCUAAGAUUGUUGAAAGAUUGAUUAAACAUGGCUGCAAUCUUGGAGCAUAUCUGUUAUCUGUCUUAAUACUCAGAUUGGGUUCUGCCGGGCAUUCUUCAUACGCGGCGCAUAUCUUUGGGUUAUCACCUGCGGACCAGAAUGUGAUUACCUACACUGCCCUUAUGAAUGCCUAUUUUCAAGCUGGCGAAGUUGAUAAGGCUCUUGAACUAUUCUCUCAAAUGAUAACUAAUGAGAUAUCUGCUUCUGCGGGUACAUAUGAAGUUCUGAUAUAUGGCUUACAAAAGGCUGGGCGGAAACAGGACUCUGACCGUUACCGAAGAGAAAGAAUGGAGAUGCAAUGGCAUCGUCAGUACCGUGACAAGCAUUCCCCUGAAGAUAGCUUAUGUGACCAUUUAUUUUGUGGCUUUCAUGGUUAG
rnacentral:rRNA from 1 species